rnacentral:rRNA from 1 species
AGGUGCAGCGUCGGUCGAUUGCGUCGCGGGGGUAGAGCUACCGGAUGCUUGCGGGCCCUUGUUGGGUACCAACAGCAGCCGAACUCCGAAUACCGUUGACGUGUAUUCCGGCAGUGAGUCGGCGGGGGAUAAGCUCCGUCGUCGAGAGGGAGACAGCCCAGACCGUCGUCUAAGGUCCCGAAGCGUGUGCUAAGUGGGAAAGGAUGUGGAGUCGCAUAGACAGCCAGGAGGUUGGCUCAGAAGCAGCCAUCCUUGAAAGAGUGCGUAACAGCUCACUGGUCUAGUGGUUCCGCGCCGACAAUGUAGCGGGGCUCAAGCACACCACCGAAGACGCGGCAGCAAUCUUCAUGGUUGCUGGGUAGGAGAGCGUCCUGCGAGGGGCGAAGCGGCCGGGUAACCGUGCCGUGGACUUCGUGGGAGUGAGAAUGCAGACAUGAGUAGCGAGAGACGGGUGAGGAUCCCGUCCGCUGGAUGACCAAGGGUUCCGGGGCCACGUUCGUCGUCCCCGGGUGAGUCGGGUCCUAAGGCGAGGCCGACAGGCGUAGUCGAAUGGAUGAACGGGUGGAUAUUCCCGUACCGACCAUGGACCGGCAAAACCGAGACGGUGAGUACUAACCUCCGCCUCGUGGUGGUUCCUUCCUUCGGGUUGGUUCCGUCGCGUGGUGUUGGGAGCGUAGCCGCAGUAGGUCAGCGCAGGGGUGACACGGAAUGGGAGCCGGCCGCGGAGGUGGUUUUCCGUGGUCAAGCACGCAGCCAGUCAUGUAGGCAAAUCCGCAUGGCAUGCAUGGCGAGGUGUGAUGAUGGGAGCCGUUAUGGCUCGAUAUCCGGUUGUCCAGGCCGUCGAGAAAAGCCUCGGCGUGAGGGCCAUGGCCGCCCGUACCCCAAACCGACACUGGUGGUCAGGUAGAGAAUACCAAGGCGAUCGAGCGAAUCCUGGUCAAGGAACUCGGCAAAUCACUCCCGUGCCUUCGGUAUAAGGGAGACCCACUGGGGUGAAGGACCUUGCGUCCGGAGCUUUGGUGGGUGGCACAGACCAGGGGGUAGCGACUGUUUACCAAAAACACAGGUGCAUGCGAAGGCGAAAGCCGCUGUAUAUGCACUGACGCCUGCCCGGUGCCGGAAGGUUAAGAGGAUCCGUCAAUCCCUUCGGGGACGAAGCGGUGAAUUCAAGCCCCGGUAAACGGCGGUGGUAACUAUAACCAUCCUAAGGUAGCGAAAUUCCUUGUCGGGUAAGUUCCGACCUGCACGAAUGGCGUAACGACUUCCCCACUGUCUCGACCAGGAGCUCGGCGAAAUUGCAGUACGAGUAAAGAUGCUCGUUAAGCGCAGAAGGACGAAAAGACCCCGGGACCUUUACUAUACCUUGGUAUUGGCGUUAGGCGCGGAUUGUGUAGCAUAGGCGGGAGGCUUCGAAGCGGGUGCGCCAGCAUUCGUGGAGCCGCAAGGUGAAAUACCGCUCUGUUCUCGUUUGACGUCUAACCUCGACAAGUCAUCCUUGUCAGGGACAGUGCCUGGCGGGUAGUUCAACUGGGGCGGUUGCCUCCCAAAGAGUAACGGAGGCGCUCAAAGGUCCGCUCAGCCCGGUUGGCAAUCGGGUGUCGAGUGUAAUCGCACAAGCGGGCUUGACUGCGAGGACGACGGUCCGAGCAGGGACGAAAGUCGGAGAUAGUGAUCCGGUGCCGGCGCACGGGCGCGGCAUCGCUCAACGGAUAAAAGGUACCCCGGGGAUAACAGGCUGAUCAUUCCCAAGAGUCCAUAUCGACGGGAUGGUUUGGCACCUCGAUGUCGGCUCGUCGCAUCCUGGGGCUGGAGCAGGUCCCAAGGGUUCGGCUGUUCGCCGAUUAAAGCGGCACGCGAGCUGGGUUCAGAACGUCGUGAGACAGUUUGGUCUCUAUCCUCUGCGCUCGUUGGAAUCCUGAGGAGGCCUGCCCAUAGUACGAGAGGACCUGGGUGGACGAACCUCUGGUAUGCCGGUUGUCGCGCCAGCGGCACGGCCGGUUGGCUACGUUCGGGAGGGAUAACCGCUGAAAGCAUCUAAGCGGGAAGCCUGCUCCAAGAUUAGGAUUCCAUGGAUCUUCGAGAUCCUGUAGCCCGCAUGUUGAACACGUGUUUGAUAGGCCGGAGGUGGAAGCCCCGUGAGGGGUGGAGCCGACCGGUACUAACGGGCGACGGCGACAUAA